rnacentral:lncRNA from 1 species
GGAAGAUUAAUGUUUUCUAAUGCUCCGAGUGUUGGAGAUUUAAGGCACUGUAUUAGUUUUACUGCUCAGUCGACAGCUCAGGUGCAAUAUGUUCCGGUAAAAAAAUCAGCCAGGAGAAUAUCAUCUUGCAGAAGACUGGAGCCUUGAACUUCUUGGCAAUUCAUUUUUUAAAAGUUUCUAGGUAUGUUUUUAAGAAACUCUGAAGAUUAUAGU